rnacentral:rRNA from 1 species
UAUGGUAAGCCAGCAGCCGCGGUAAUACUGAGGAUCCGAGCGUUAUCCGGAUUUAUUGGGUUUAAAGGGAGCGUAGGUGGACUGGUAAGUCAGUUGUGAAAGUUUGCGGCUCAACCGUAAAAUUGCAGUUGAUACUGUCAGUCUUGAGUACAGUAGAGGUGGGCGGAAUUCGUGGUGUAGCGGUGAAAUGCUUAGAUAUCACGAAGAACUCCGAUUGCGAAGGCAGCUCACUGGACUGCAACUGACACUGAUGCUCGAAAGUGUGGGUAUCAAACAGG